rnacentral:rRNA from 1 species
GUCUACGGCCAUACCACGUUGAAAGCACCAGUUCUCGUCCGAUCACUGAAGUUAAGCGACGUCGGGCUCGGUUAGUACUUGGGAUGGGUGACCGCCUGGGAACACCGAGUGCUGUAGACU